UGUAAGCAUUCUACGCUUGUGUUCUUACUC
rnacentral:piRNA from 1 species